GGGUGUUCGUUUUCAGAGGCGGGCAGGUAUCGUAGCGUUGGUCGGGCCGCCAGCG
rnacentral:ncRNA from 2 species